UACGUAGGGGGCAAGCGUUGUCCGGAUUCAUUGGGCGUAAAGAGCGUGUAGGCGGCCAGGUAGGUCGGUUGUGAAAACUGGAGGCUCAACCUUCAGAGGUCGACCGAAAACCAUCUGGCUAGAGUCCGGGAGAGGAGAGUGGAAUUCCCGGGUGGUAGCGGUGAAAUGCGCAGAUAUCGGGAGGAACACCAAUGGCGAAGGCAGCUCGCUGGGACGUUACGUGACGCUGAGACGCGAAAGCGUGGGGAGCAAACAGGGAGU
rnacentral:rRNA from 1 species